UCGAACGGGGAUGUCAGAGCUUGCUCUGGCGGAUCAGUGGCGAACGGGUGAGUAACACGUGAGUAACCUGCCCCCGACUCUGGGAUAACUGCUAGAAAUGGUAGCUAAUACCGGAUAUGACGACUGGCCGCUUGGUCUGGUCGUGGAAAGAAUUUCGGUUGGGGAUGGACUCUCGGCCUAUCAGGUUGUUGGUGAGGUAAUGGCUCACCUUGCCUACGACGGGUAGCCGGCCUGAAAGGGUGACCGGCCACGCUGGGACUGAGACACGGCCCACACUCCUACCGGAGGCAGCAAUGGGGAAUAUUGCACAAUGGGCGCAAGCCUGAUGCAGCAACGCCGCGUGAGGGAUGACGGCCUUCGGGUUGUAAACCUCUUUUAGUAUGGAAGAAGCGAAAGUGACGGUACCUGCACAAAAAGCACCGGCUAACUACGUGCCAGCAGCCGCGGUAAUACGUAGGGUGCAAGCGUUGUCCGGAAUUAUUGGGCGUAAAGAGCUCGUAGGCGGUUUGUCGCGUCUGCUGUGAAAUCCCGAGGCUCAACCUCGGGUCUGCAGUGGGUACGGGCAGACUAGAGUGCGGUAGGGGAGAUUGGAAUUCCUGGUGUAGCGGUGGAAUGCGCAGAUAUCACGAGGAACACCGAUGGCGAAGGCAGAUCUCUGGGCCGUAACUGACGCUGAUGAGCGAAAGCAUGUGCUAGCGAACAGGAUUAGAUACU
rnacentral:rRNA from 1 species